rnacentral:rRNA from 1 species
GACGAACGCUGGCGGCGUGCUUAACACAUGCAAGUCGAACGGAAAGGCCCUGCUUUUGUGGGGUGCUCGAGUUGCGACCUGGUGAGUAACACGUGAGUAACCUGCCCUUGACUUUGGGAUAACUUCAUGAAACUUGGUCUAAUACCGGAUAGGAGCUCCUGCUGCAUGGUGGGGGUUGGAAAGUUUCGGCGGUUGGGGAUGGACUCGCGGCUUAUCAGCUUGUUGGUGGGGUAGUGUCUUACCAAGGCUUUGACGGGUAGCCGGCCUGAGAGGGUGACCGGCCACAUUGGGACUGAGAUACGGCCCAGACUCCUACGGGAGGCAGCAGUGGGGAAUAUUGCACAAUGGGCGGAAGCCUGAUGCAGCAACGCCGCGUGCGGGAUGACGGCCUUCGGGUUGUAAACCGCUUUCGCCUGUGACGAAGCGUGAGUGACGGUAAUGGGUAAAGAAGCACCGGCUAACUACGUG